rnacentral:rRNA from 1 species
UACGUAGGGGGCAAGCGUUGUCCGGAUUUAUUGGGCGUAAAGAGCGUGUAGGCGGCCAGGUAGGUCUGGUGUGAAAACUCGAGGCUCAACCUCGAGAGGUCAUCGGAAACCAUUUGGCUAGAGUACGGAAGAGGCGAGUGGAAUUCCUGGUGUAGCGGUGAAAUGCGCAGAUAUCAGGAGGAACACCAAUUGCGAAGGCAGCUCGCUGGGACGUUACUGACGCUGAGACGCGAAAGCGUGGGGAGCAAACAGG